rnacentral:tmRNA from 1 species
GGGGCCGAUCGGCUUCGACGCGGGGACGGAAGGCUCAUCUGCGUGUGGCGGCUCCUGCACCGCCUCGACAAGCGGGACGUAUUAACUGCGAACGACAACGCAAUCGCCCUGGCUGCCUGAAAGCAGACUAGAGCCGUCCGACGGGCAGAUCGUCCUGGUACCCGGAGGGCGUCAACACGAGGGCUGGAGCGCGUGAGGAACGCCAGCGAUAGCGCGCUCGAGACAAGGGCCGGCUAGGUCGCAGCCGAAUCUGCGAACCCAGUCGCCGGGGAUACGGCGACCACGCACGUGGAUGAAGGUGAGCUGGAUGCCUCGCGGACCCGGGUUCGAUUCCCGGCGGCUCCACUA